CGCACAAGCCGUGGAGCAUGUGGCUUAAUUCGAGGCAACGCGAAGAACCUUACCUAGAUUUGACAUACAUUUGACCGCCAUGGAAACAUGGCUUCCAGCAAUGGCAGAUGUACAGGUGCUGCAUGGCUGUCGUCAGCUCGUGCCGUGAGGUGUUCGGUUAAGUCCGGCAACGAGCGCAACCCAUGUCUUUAGUUGCUACCAGGUAAUGCUGGGCACUCUAAAGAGACUGCCCGUGUUAAGCGGGAGGAAGGCGUGGAUGACGUCAAGUCCGUAUGGCCUUUAUAUCUAGGGCUGCACACGUGCUACAAUGGUCGGUACAAAGGGAAGCAAUACCGCGAGGUGGAGCAAAUCCUUAAAACCGUCCUUAGUUCAGAUUGCAGUCUGCAACUCGACUGCAUGAAGUUGGAAUCGCUAGUAAAUGCGUAUCAGACACGACGCAUUGAAUACGUUCCCGGGCCUUGUACACACCGCCCGUCACAUCAUGGGAGCUGAUUGCACCCGAAGUCGCUCACUCAACCNUUCAACAGGAGAGAGGCGCCUAAGGUGUGGUUAGUGACUGGGAUGAAGUCGUAACAA
rnacentral:rRNA from 1 species